rnacentral:tmRNA from 1 species
GGGGGCGUGCUGGAUUCGACGGGGGUUGUUCGUGCACAAGCUGCGAGCCGAGGGGCUGCGUCCUCGUAAAAACGCAGGGCUAAAUGUAACUGGCAACCGUCAAGUUGCUCUCGCUGCCUAAUCGAGCGCAGCGGCUCCGCCACGCCAUCGCCCACGUGGCGUGACCGGGGCUCAACCCAGUGGGCUGGCCAAGGGGCUCGUCACCGGCCCCGCGGCGAGAUGGAACGGUGACUAGCCCGCGGGAACGCCUGUCGCCGGGCAGUCCCGAGGGCGAAGGGCGAAUACGGCGACUACGCUCGUAGACGCUUGUGUGGCGAUGCCUUCGGACGUGGGUUCGACUCCCACCGCCUCCACCA